CCCGUUGAUGCGCGCGGUCGUGGGGCGGGAGGGGAGGGUCCCCUAAGGGACCGAGCGGGCUCCUGGCGCCCUCUAGUGGCCUAGAAGAGCACACGCACCCCGGAAUCUUCGGCCGCGCGCCCAGGCCUCCUCCCAGCCAGUGGCCCACCCCGUGAGCCUCCAGGCUCACCUUCCCAGGGUCACCUGGGCGAUUUGUCCAGGGUCACAAAGCGAGCGAUGGCAGCGACCAGUGGGGAAUGCCAGCCUGUCGUCCAGCCUGCACGCCACCGCCCACUGGCUGUGCGGCCUCAGCAAAGUCUCCCCACUUAUGGCACGGACCCCACAUUCCUGUGGUAAAGCUCUAGUAAGAGAACAAAAGCAUCCAGAGACUGCAAGUCGGCCACAUACCCGCUAUCUACGACUGGUCGCUCAAGUCGGCCAAGG
rnacentral:lncRNA from 1 species